UACGUAGGUGGCAAGCGUUAUCCGGAUUUAUUGGGCGUAAAGGGAACGCAGGCGGUCUUUUAAGUCUGAUGUGAAAGCCUUCGGCUUAACCGGGGUAGUGCAUUGGAAACUGGGAGACUUGAGUGCAGAAGAGGAGAGUGUAACUCCAUGUGUAGCGGUGAAAUGCGUAGAUAUAUGGAAGAACACCAGUGGCGAAAGCGGCUCUCUGGUCUGUAACUGACGCUGAGGUUCGAAAGCGUGGGUAGCAAACAGG
rnacentral:rRNA from 1 species